AGUGAACGCUGGCGGCGUGCUUAACACAUGCAAGUCGAACGAGAACGGGUUAUAGCUUGCUAUAAUUGUCAGCUAAGUGGCGCACGGGUGAGUAAUGUAUAGGUAAUAUGCCUCUUACUAAGGGAUAACAAAUGGAAACGUUUGAUAAUACCUUAUACUCAUUAUUCACAGAAGUUAAUAAGGGAAAGAUUUAUUGGUAAGAGAUUAGCCUGUAUUGUAUCAGUUAGUUGGUGGGGUAAUGGCUUACCAAGACUAUGACACAUAACUAGUUGUAGAGGAUGAUCAGUCACACUGGAACUGAGACACGGUCCAGACUCCUACGGGAGGCAGAAGUGGGGAAUAUUUCACAAUGGACGAAAGUCUGAUGCAGCAACGCCGCGUGGAGGAUGACACAUUUCGGUGCGUAAUCUCCUUUUAUAUGAGAAGAUAAUGACGGUAUUAUAUGAAUAAGCACCGGCUAACUCCGUGCCAGCCGCCGCCGUAA
rnacentral:rRNA from 1 species